CCUACGGGAGGCAGCAGUGGGGAAUAUUGCACAAUGGGGGAAACCCUGAUGCAGCGACGCCGCGUGAGUGAAGAAGUAUUUCUGUAUGUAAAGCUCUAUCAGCAGGGAAGAAGCCAGCCGGUACCUGACUAAGAAGCCCCGGCUAACUACGUGCCAGCAGCCGCGGUACUACGUAGGGGGCAAGCGUUAUCCGCAUUUACUGGGGUUAAAGGGUGCGUAGGCUGUGAGGUAAGUCAGCGGUGAAAUGCCCCCGCUCAACGGGGUGAAGUGCCAUUGAUACUGCCUUGCUGGAAUGCGGAUGCGGUAGGAGGAAUGUGUGGUGUAGCGGUGAAAUGCAUAGAUAUCACACAGAACACCGAUUGCGAAGGCAUCUCACGAAUCCGCGAUUGACGCUGAUGCACGAAAGCGUGGGUAUCAAACAGGAUUAGAUACCCCUGUAGUC
rnacentral:rRNA from 1 species